rnacentral:rRNA from 1 species
UUGGGAGCUCACUGGCUUCGGAGUCGUAGGAACUCCGAAGUUAAGCGAGUUGGGGGCUAGGGCAAUCCCAGGAUGGGUGACCCACUGGGAAGUUGCUCGUGAGCUCCCAGA